GCAGGGCUGACACGGAGUAGACGCUGAGGUCCCCGGCCUGGGGGCCACUGCUGACCUUGGAGAAGAUGCAUUCCUGGCCGCGGAAAGCGGAGAACUGGGUCUCGUUUAGCACCAGCUGGUGGUGGAGGUGGUGGGUGGGCGUCUCCUGGCCAGGGCUGCCGGAGCCCUUCACGCUGUACUUGUCUGGCUGGCCUCGCUCGUCCAGAUCCUCCUCCUCAUCCGAAAAGAAGUAAGCCACCCCGACGCGCAGCUCGUCUUUCUCGAUCCCCGAGGGGUCCCCGGUCGGCAGCUCGCUGUAAUUCAGGGAACACCAGCAACCAUGCACACACAGGGGUGCCAGGACGGGAAGAGUGCAUCACCUCUUCUCUGACAACUGCUCUGCUACUCCAGCCCUUCCAGUAAUCUAGGAGCACACCCACCUCACCUAUGG